rnacentral:rRNA from 1 species
GAUGAACGCUAGCGGGAGGCCUAACACAUGCAAGCCGAGCGGUAUUGUUUCUUCGGAAAUGAGAGAGCGGCGUACGGGUGCGUAACACGUGUGCAACCUGCCUUUAUCUGGGGGAUAGCCUUUCGAAAGGAAGAUUAAUACUCCAUAAUAUAUUGAACGGCAUCGUUUAAUAUUGAAAGCUCCGGCGGAUAGAGAUGGGCACGCGCAAGAUUAGCUAGUUGGUGAGGUAACGGCUCACCAAGGUGAUGAUCUUUAGGGGGCCUGAGAGGGUGAUCCCCCACACUGGUACUGAGACACGGACCAGACUCCUACGGGAGGCAGCAGUGAGGAAUAUUGGUCAAUGGGUGCAAGCCUGAACCAGCCAUCCCGCGUGAAGGACGACUGCCCUAUGGGUUGUAAACUUCUUUUGUAUAGGGAUAAACCUACCCUCGAGAGGGUAGCUGAAGGCACUAUACGAAUAAGCACCGGCUAACUCCGUG